UCAUGGAGCUUAGUGGUAGAGUGCUUGCCUAGCAUGUGCAAGACCCUGGAUUUGAUUCCCAGCACUGAA
rnacentral:tRNA from 1 species